GGGAGGGACAGAGAGAGAGACACAGAGAGAGAGACAGAGAGAGAGAGAGAGAGAGAGAGGGGUAAACAGAAUCCUAAUCUGCACUUUCAGUGUAGAGCCCAACAUGGGGCUUGGAUUCAUGAACUGAAAGAUCAUGAGAUCACGACCUGAGCCAAGAUCAAGAGUUGGACGCUUAACUGACCAAGCCACCCAGGCGCCCCUCCUUCUUUUCCUUUUUAAAGCUACGUCUUAUGUGGCAGAUGGGAAGUGUGGAACUCCAGGUGGCAGGUGGCACCCAGGAGGCACAUGGAGCUCCCCCACCUCCAGAAGACAUGCCCCACAUCCACGCCCAGGGAAGCCCACUGCAGCCUCCCUGCCCUUCUCUCCCAGGGCUGGGGUGUCUGAUGCUGCAUUCACAGACAGCUCCGGGGAGUCCCAGCCACAAAGACCAGCAUCCAACGACGCACCCACAAACAUUUGAGGAAGAUGAACACCAUAAGGAGAAGCACCUAGUUUCACCAACCGAGCCAACAAGUAGAUGACACGUGAGCAGGAAGAGAC